AGACAUCAGCAGCCGCGGUAAUACAGAGGGUGCGAGCGUUAAUCGGAUUUACUGGGCGUAAAGCGUGCGUAGGCGGCUUCUUAAGUCGGAUGUGAAAUCCCUGAGCUUAACUUAGGAAUUGCAUUCGAUACUGGGAAGCUAGAGUAUGGGAGAGGAUGGUAGAAUUCCAGGUGUAGCGGUGAAAUGCGUAGAGAUCUGGAGGAAUACCGAUGGCGAAGGCAGCCAUCUGGCCUAAUACUGACGCUGAGGUACGAAAGCAUGGGGAGCAAACAGGAUUAGAUACCCCCGUAGUCCCUGUCUCUUAUAC
rnacentral:rRNA from 1 species